GGGCCGUUAGCUCAGCUGGCUAGAGCACCACAUUGACAUUGUGGGGGUCGUUGGUUCAAGUCCAAUACGGCCCA
rnacentral:tRNA from 1 species